UACGGAGGGGGCUAGCGUUGUUCGGAAUUACUGGGCGUAAAGCGCACGUAGGCGGCUUUGUAAGUUAGAGGUGAAAGCCCGGGGCUCAACUCCGGAACUGCCUUUAAGACUGCAUCGCUUGAAUCAUGGAGAGGUUAGUGGAAUUCCGAGUGUAGAGGUGAAAUUCGUAGAUAUCGAGAGGAACACCUGCGGCGAAGGCGACUUACUGGACACAUAUUGACGCUGAGGUGCGAAAGCGUGGGGAGCAAACAGG
rnacentral:rRNA from 1 species